rnacentral:rRNA from 1 species
UGGGGAAUAUUGCACAAUGGGCGCAAGCCUGAUGCAGCCAUGCCGCGUGUAUGAAGAAGGCCUUCGGGUUGUAAAGUACUUUCAGCGGGGAGGAAGGGAGUAAAGUUAAUACCUUUGCUCAUUGACGUUACCCGCAGAAGAAGCACCGGCUAACUCCGUGCCAGCAGCCGCGGUAAUACGGAGGGUGCAAGCGUUAAUCGGAAUUACUGGGCGUAAAGCGCACGCAGGCGGUUGAUUGAGUCAGAUGUGAAAUCCCCGGGCUUAACCCGGGAAUUGCAUCUGAUACUGGUCAGCUAGAGUCUUGUAGAGGGGGGUAGAAUUCCAUGUGUAGCGGUGAAAUGCGUAGAGAUGUGGAGGAAUACCGGUGGCGAAGGCGGCCCCCUGGACAAAGACUGACGAUCAGGUGCGAAAGCGUGGGGAGCAAACAGG